GAUGAACGCUGGCGGCGUGCCUAAUACAUGCAAGUCGAGCGAACAGACGAGGAGCUUGCUCCUCUGACGUUAGCGGCGGACGGGUGAGUAACACGUGGAUAACCUACCUAUAAGACUGGGAUAACUUCGGGAAACCGGAGCUAAUACCGGAUAAUAUAUUGAACCGCAUGGUUCAAUAGUGAAAGACGGUUUUGCUGUCACUUAUAGAUGGAUCCGCGCCGCAUUAGCUAGUUGGUAAGGUAACGGCUCACCAAGGCGACGAUGCGUAGCCGACCUGAGAGGGUGAUCGGCCACACUGGAACUGAGACACGGUCCAGACUCCUACGGGAGGCAGCAGUAGGGAAUCUUCCGCAAUGGGCGAAAGCCUGACGGAGCAACGCCGCGUGAGUGAUGAAGGUCUUCGGAUCGUAAAACUCUGUUAUUAGGGAAGAACAAAUGUGUAAGUAACUAUGCACGUCUUGACGGUACCUAAUCAGAAAGCCACGGCUAACUACGUG
rnacentral:rRNA from 1 species